CGCCUCUUGUUACUUAUAAGAGGUACAGCCUGCCCAGUGACUCUGUUUAACGGCCGCGGUAUCCUAACCGUGCGAAGGUAGCGUAAUCACUUGUUCUUUAAAUGAGGACUAGUAUGAAUGGCAUCACGAGGGUUAUACUGUCUCCUUUUCCUAAUCAGUGAAACUAAUCUCCCCGUGAAGAAGCGGGGAUAAAUUUAUAAGACGAGAAGACCCUAUGGAGCUUUAAAUUAAAUCACACUUGCCAAACACAUAAAAAUUUCAGAAAAAUAAUAUCCAUACGGACACCAUGAUGAUAAAUUUUAGGUUGGGGUGACCGCGGAGUAAAACUCAUCCUCCGCAUUGAACAAGAUUGCUUCUUUAGCCUAAAGCUACGACUUAAAGCAUCAAUAAAUUGACAUUAUUGACCCAAUAUUUUGAUCAACGAACCAAGUUACCCUAGGGAUAACAGCGCAAUCCACUUCAAGAGCUCCUAUCGACAAGUGGGUUUACGACCUCGAUGUUGGAUCAGGGUAUCCCAGUGGUGCAGCCGCUACUAAAGGUUCGUUUGUUCAACGAUUAAAACCCU
rnacentral:rRNA from 1 species